UACUCCAACUUCUUUCUCAUCUAACAGUUCUCCAAAAGCAAGUCAGUAUAACAUUGUUUCUUUGCAUUCCAAAUACCAGUGUGUCUUAAAAAAAAAAUAGGAUGCACUAAAAAAUGGAUAAUUUUUUUGAAGUAAAAAAGCUAACAUAAAAAGAGGAGGCAUAUUCUUUUAAACUAUAGCAUUUAUUAUGCAGAUGAUUUAAAGAUUAAUUUCCGCUCUUCAAUUUUGCUGUGGAAUUAAAAUUCAGAGAGAAUGACAGCUAAUUGAGUGCUUGUAACAACCUGUUAAAAUAAUGCAGGAGACUGACUGGAUAUUUUUGUGUAUGCUACAAAGUGAUGUGGUCCCAUACUGUAAAGCAGUGGCCUGUUACACACUCUCAACAGCAGUUGCUGUCACAUAGUAAGGCUUGAUUUCUCCUGCAUUAUAACAAAAAGAAAAAAGGAAAAAAUCAAUAACUUUUCCCCCUAGAAAUAUUCUGUUCAGGGAAGCAACUCAGUAGGGGCAGCGAUCAUUUUCAAAGAAAAUCCUUUCUAUGCACAGGGAUUGUGUGUUUCAGUUCCUUAGUUAGAAAUGAAUAAAGUAGGAAAGAAAAUAUCCUUAUGGAUGAAUGUAACACGCUCUACUGGUGAUUCUCAGUGCAAUCAAAGAAAUGAAAGAAGUAAUCAAAAUGCAUGUGUAAAAGGUAAAUAAAGAGAUAGGUAUGGAUGCAGUAACAAAACAAAACUAUUUUAUGCAAACAGAGUUAUUUUCAUACAUAAGAAUAGGGAUGUGAAUGACAUUCCCAGUUGGAAAACUAUAUUCACACACAAUUUUGCUGGGUAGAUGCUCAUACAAAUCUGUCUUCAAAAUCCAGUGCAAAUCUUAAAUACUGAAAAUGGCUGCUGUAAUAUAGAACCAGCCUGCUCCUUCCUCCUCCUCCUCCUCCCCCGGCUUCUUUCUGUGCGAAUUCCUCACCUUCUCCGUCUUACCACCUGGAUUCCCUGAAAACUAUCCUGGGUUCCAGAGAGCUUCACUGACUCCCAGCCUGACUCUGUCCACCCCAUGCCCAAUGCUAGCUCCUCCCUUUCAUCUCCAUCCUGAUAUUCCGUUUCUUAGCUCCCCAACUCCAAAGUGGCUAAAUGCAUCUAGAUUUGUGCUUGGUGUAUAUUGGAUCCUGAGAGUCAACAUUUGGUAUCUGGCACUUCACACAAAAAGUAGAAUUUUCAUAUAUCUACAGUAGAAGCAAGGAGAGGGUAGAUCCACAGGAGUCAGUGACAGAUGUACUUCAUUUUAUUGAGACCCUAAAUGUAAUUGUAGUGUAGUAUAAUUCUUCCUUGUAUUCACUAAGGAAGGAGAAGACAAUAUCAUAGAGACAGAGAUGCUUUUCCCAGGGUAAGAAAGAAGUAAUAUGCUGAAAAGCUUUCCCAAUGCACUGGAGCAGAUAACUGAGCAAUUAGAGCCAUUAAAAGCAGACAGAGCAUCAGGCCCACAAAAAAAUUACAACCUACAAUUCAGAAAAAUCCAUUAUGGGGAAGCAGGAACUUUGUGUAAAGAUUCGACAGCUCCUUAAAGAGCAUAUGCUCCCCUCACGCAGCGUGGAGAAGGUUUGGAAGAGGUAUGGCAAGUAAGGGAUAAAGGUGGCUAUGCCAUAGUACAACUCACACUGUGUAGCCAUUUCCAGCACUUCCGUAACUUUUAUUCAAGCCUUCAGAGCAGGAAUGUCUGCUCCGUGGCUUUAACUUUCCAUGGAGGGGGUACUGUUGCCAGGCAAUGGCAGCCCAGCAGAAUGGACUGUCAUGCUUCUGGUGCUGCAGAAGGCCUAGAUAUGCACAAGUUAAGGUCUAUGGCAGCUGGCCCUGUUCUCAUGGAUCUGCAGUCUUUCCAUGAACUGGCAGAGACACCCCCAGGUCCCAGAGGAAACAAUAUAGCAGAGCUGCAGUGUAGAAAAGCCUAUAUAACAGGGUGUAGGAGAGAGGUGGUGCUUCCACGCAACUUUAGUCAGGGUGGGGAGCAUAUGACCCUAAGAAAGAGGGUAAGGCCGAAGGCCUAGAGAGUAGUUAACAUUCUCCAGUGUACAAAUUUAAGAAAAGGAGGCAAAAUUUGAAAACUCAGCUACUAAGUCAGGCUUCCUGUGUGCAACAAAUAGUGCUAAAAGGGAAGCUGUUUCAAAGCACACUAAAGAAUUGUUAAUGCGCAGUAGCAGGGUCCACACAGACAGUUAGUGCGCAGUAAGCUAGUUCAGGCUAGAUUCACACCUGAGCUUGGUGUGAAUUAAAUGUUAGUGUAGACCAGCCCUUAUUAAGGUAUAAAAUAGUGGGCAAAUGUGACUCAGUCUACACAGACUAGAAGGAGGCAAACCUUUUUCAUUGAACAAACACAUGUGAGAGACUGAAGCUUCUUUUUCAAUUUUAUACCUUCCCUUCAUCCUACCAAACUUAAACAUUCAAUGUCAGAGAGUAAAAUGUAUCAACUCUGCUUCAGAGUUUCUUCAAGUACACACAAUUAUCAAUCCUCUAAACUGGCUGUUUACAGCGAUAAGGCAGAUUUGGACUCUGCUAUGAAAACUGGAAUCGGGGUGAAUGAAAUUGGAUCAUCCAAAUGUAUUUCUGUAACAUCAAAGGCAUCAUAUUCCCCCUGUGAGGCAGAGAGCAGAAAUGGGUGUAGAGAUCUUUAAAAUAAACAUUAUGUUCUGAGGUUUGCUGACAUAUUUUCUUUAGCUAAAUGAAUAUAUUUGCUUCUAAAUCUUUAAAACACGUGCAUAUUUGAAACAGGUACUGCCAGUAUUUUCCUUCCCAUUAAGAAAGAGUUACAGUAUAGAUUUGUUGUUAGCUUUAUAACUACUGUAAUCGACUAUUGUUGCUAACCGUGGUACUGAAUGGAUGGGGCAUUUAGAAAAAUAAAUAGAAUUAAAGAGUGCAGUUCAGUGACAAACAAUCAGCAAGAAUCCAGAAACUGAAAACCAUUCCUGACAAGUAGAUUUUAACUAUUUUAACACAACAGGGUCAGUUAUGGAUGCCUGAGCUCUAAGUUUCCUGGCACUUUUCCAGUUUAAAUCAGAUCUUAAUGUUUGGAACUGUGCACAUGUGCGUGAAUAUUAUAGAGUAUCAAUGUGCAGAAUCACUAAAAGCUCCACUUUUAAUAGUUCAUUUUGAUCUGCAUGAAACUAAACAGUUUAUAGAUGACUGCCAAGAACCGCUUCAAUGAGAUAUAAAUUUGAGAGGGGAACUCCUUUUUUCCUCUCCAGGAGAAAAAAAAAUGGCAAAUAUUCAAAAUCAUAAUUAUCUUACCAUUCAAACUCCAUUACUAUUACAGGGCCUGAGUCUCCAGUCUUGAUCUGUUUGAGGAAGGGCAUGAGGAUCAGGCCCAUAUUAUUUUAAGUGGCCUCUGUAUGUCUUGACUAUUGGAAAGAGAAACUGCAUACUAUUUAAAAUGCAAAGGACUAGAUUUUGGCUUGGACUACAGACCAACACAGGGGAGUUAGGAGAAGUGAGUUAUCCCUUUAGACGUCUGCUGAAAUAGUGAGCUUUGGGUCUGGGUGUGCUGGCGUAAGGUGUGCCACAUGCACUUGAAGCAAAGGGGCAGAGAGAGCUUCCAUCCAUCCCCAAUGCAUCAACCAGCACAGCUGAACCAUACAGGUGUCAUAAUUUACUGUCUCAGACAGUUGUUGUUGUGGCAUGGUACCUCCUGGGGCACCCGAGAAGGCACACCACUCCUUGCUCAGGGCUAUGACUAAAGGCACAAUCAAGCUCCAAGUAUAAAUAGGAAUCUGCUGCCAAACUGUUAUAUUCCUUGUACUGCAAUAGAAAGACAUAAAGGAGAUAUGGGGUACAAUUUAUUUGAAAUAUAACAAAAAUUUUUUGGAUGCUCCAAAUGGUGUCUAAUUGAUUUAUCAUGCACAGGUGAAAUGUGUAUGUUGGCAAUCAGUGCUUCUCAAUCCCUUUAUGGUUUCCAGAUUCCUUUUUCAGAUUCAAUAUGUUUUAAUAAACCCUAAUUGCAAAGCAUAUGAUAAAAUAUCUACUGCAGCUACACCUGCAAUAUCAUAAAUAUUGAAUUGGCUGUGUUCCGUGUUAAUGUCAGUAAAUGUGGGCCAUAUUCUACUUUCGAUUUUUGUGAAACCAUUGAUUUCAAAUGGGAGCUCUGCAUGGAAAACAGUAGAAAGAUAUGAUUGUAUAGGUUUAUCUAACAGUAAAAACAACAGCUCCCUAUAAAAGGAUUCACAUCAACAAGCUUAUAUAGAUAAAUUAACAUUCAGGAUACCAAAGAACACAUUUGAGAAUGCAUUACUGUGGCUUGGAAGUUUGUAUCUGUGUAAAGCUGUGUAUAAAUUACAGAGGGAAAAGGACAAGUUUCAGGGGGCUAGUAGUGAAACUAGAUGGGGAACGUCAGUGUGUUUUUCUGGGUUGGCUAAACAGGUUGAACAGGAAAAGUUAUUUUAUAUCCUUUUAAAAACAUAAUUAAAUAUUUAAUGUUGGCCCAUAACAAAAAUAUAAAUAAUACAAAGAACUUUUUCUCUGUGAAUAACCCCUUGCACUUUAUUUUAAAAUGAAGAAGGCAAUAUAAAGAAAUCUAUGACUUAAUUGUAAAGUAUCUUCAUAUCCCAUGCAGUUAUGUGGCUUUGGUGUAUGGCAGAGGCAGAUAUGUCUUUCCUGGACCAGGACUGAUGCAUAUUACAAAAUUAACUAAGCCUCGGAUCCUGCCCCAGUACAUAGCACAAGCAACUGGGCCGUACACUGGGGAAUCCCACCCAGCUGAUGAAGUGGAUACUAGCUGUUCUACAACCUUCUCCCUGUCCUCUGCAGAAGGAAUGAUUGAUAGAUACAUGUAGCAGUGAAUCCACUAGCCUCACACUUCCCCUCCUUCAAUCUGCCCCCACACAGCUGCUGCACAGCAACAGCUGGGUUGUACACCAUGCAGGAGUGCCUGUACAAAUUUUGUCCCCCACCAAACCAUGUGUGGUCGAAUGGCCUAGUUCCUCCACUGGCCAGAUCCUUUAUGCUUGUAGAGAGAGGGACAGGAUUUGGCCGUUCGUUCCUAUUUUCAUAUUGUUUUGAUUUAAGGAACACUGUGAUUUGUGCCCUUAUAAAUAAAUGACCUCAGCUCCCUGGUGUAACUUGGCCCUGGAGCUGACCGGGGUGAGUCUGGAGAGUUAUGAGCCAGCACUGAUUGACGUGCUAAGAGAAAUGCUCUGUGAAUUGUUUGAAAUAUGAUUCUGUCCAGCAAAUACUAGCCCAUAAAAUCUGACUGAAAUUAAGGGAAGGAUUUGCUGGUAAUUACUAGUUUCAACAAUCCCCCUCGAAAUUUUCAUCCGGCUUUAUCUCUGGUUAUCGGCAUUGUACUGCUCUUUCUCACCUUCACACAGUGGAGCUGUGGGAGGUUGACAGCAGAGAGAGCCAACAUAAUCGCCUACUUAUCUCUUUAAAAUGUUGGUGGUCAGGAACUGAUUAUGGCACCAAUUUAUUUAUUUAAUUUAUAAAAUGCACCCAGUACAUCUCUUAAUAGCAUGUAUGAUUAACAAAACACAUAACUAUACAAGAGUCAGAAAGAAAAAAAAAGGCUUGGCUCCCGCCUUUUAAAUUACUCAUCAGCUGACCGAGAUCCUUUCUCUCGUGUAAAAGCCACAGAAAAAAGUUGGAUCUGGAACUGUGAUCUAAAGUUGUACAAACUCUGGCUUUGUCAGACCAGCAGGGGAAACAAUUUACAGAUUUUAGGGACAGACCUUAAUUGCAUGCCCCUUAACUAAAUCUAUAAUAUGCCUCAGCUUGGUCAGGGUUAUGGGUGAGGUGUGAACAGGAAGGAAAGAAAACAGUCUGGUUUUGAGAAUGCUGGGUGAGUUUGCUGAGUUGGUAAUUAAAGAAACAAAAUGUACUUGGAAAAAAAUGAGCAAAUUUGAUCUGGCAUCACUGGGAGACAAUAAACGUGGGAUCCCAUGAUUCUACUUUUAUAAUAAAUUUUCAGAGAAGAUCCUCAUCUUAAUGGGUCAUAAGAAGACAAAUGUUUAAAACAAGUUAUGUCAUUGAUCAGGGUUUUCUUUUUGAUCUAGGCCAUGAAUUAAUGAGUAUAUAAUUCUUUUCUCUUUUAUCUAAGAUAUGCUUACUCAAAUUUUUAAAAAUAUUAUCAGAUCAAGGGAGAAGCAGCAACCCUAAUCCAGUGGGAAAAUAGUUUUGUCCAGGUCAAGUUAUCCAUUGACUAUCUCUCACAAAUUGUAUUGCGACAGAAAAUGAAGGAUGAAAAUGGUAGAAUACAGAACAAAAAAUCCCUCUUCGGAGAAAAUGCAGAAAAAAAUAAAAAUAAUGUUAUUUGUAUAAAAGCAACAUUUCAACACUGUAGUUGGAGUAAAAAAACAACCAAACAAACAAAUCCCCAAACUCAUGAAACCAA